AUGCUCACUUCAGCAGCACAUGCACUAAGGUCGGAACGGCACAGAGAUUAGCAUGGACCCCGUGCAAGAAUGACACAAAAGUUCAUGAAGCAUUCUGUAAUUUU